GAUGAACGCUGGCGGCGUGCCUAAUACAUGCAAGUCGAGCGAACGGACGAGAAGCUUGCUUCUCUGAUGUUAGCGGCGGACGGGUGAGUAACACGUGGAUAACCUACCUAUAAGACCGGGAUAACUUCGGGAAACCGGAGCUAAUACCGGAUAAUAUUUUGAACCGCAUGGUUCAAAAGUGAAAGACGGUCUUGCUGUCACUUAUAGAUGGAUCCGCGCUGCAUUAGCUAGUUGGUAAGGUAACGGCUUACCAAGGCAACGAUGCAUAGCCGACCUGAGAGGGUGAUCGGCCACACUGGAACUGAGACACGGUCCAGACUCCUACGGGAGGCAGCAGUAGGGAAUCUUCCGCAAAGGGCGAAAGCCUGACGGAGCAACGCCGCGUGAGUGAUGAAGGUCUUCGGAUCGUAAAACUCUGUUAUUAGGGAAGAACAUAUGUGUAAGUAACUGUGCACAUCUUGACGGUACCUAAUCAGAAAGCCACGGCUAACUACGUG
rnacentral:rRNA from 1 species